rnacentral:rRNA from 1 species
GGGUUGUGAGGUUAAGCGACUAAGCGUACACGGUGGAUGCCCUGGCAGUCAGAGGCGAUGAAGGACGUGCUAAUCUGCGAAAAGCGCCGGCGAGGUGAUAUGAACCUUUGACCCGGCGAUGUCCGAAUGGGGAAACCCAGUGUGAUUCGUCACACUAUCGUUAACUGAAUACAUAGGUUAACGAGGCGAACCGGGGGAACUGAAACAUCUAAGUACCCCGAGGAAAAGAAAUCAACCGAGAUUCCCCCAGUAGCGGCGAGCGAACGGGGAGCAGCCCAGAGUCUGAAUCAGCUUGUGUGUUAGUGGAAGCGUCUGGAAAGUCGCACGGUACAGGGUGACAGUCCCGUACACGAAAAUGCACAGGUUGUGAACUCGAAGAGUAGGGCGGGACACGUGGUAUCCUGUCUGAAUAUGGGGGGACCAUCCUCCAAGGCUAAAUACUCCUGACUGACCGAUAGUGAACCAGUACCGUGAGGGAAAGGCGAAAAGAACCCCGGCGAGGGGAGUGAAAAAGAACCUGAAACCGUGUACGUACAAGCAGUGGGAGCACCUUCGUGGUGUGACUGCGUACCUUUUGUAUAAUGGGUCAGCGACUUAUAUUCUGUAGCAAGGUUAACCGUAUAGGGGAGCCGAAGGGAAACCGAGUCUUAACUGGGCGUUAAGUUGCAGGGUAUAGACCCGAAACCCGGUGAUCUAGCCAUGGGCAGGUUGAAGGUUGGGUAACACUAACUGGAGGACCGAACCGACUAAUGUUGAAAAAUUAGCGGAUGACUUGUGGCUGGGGGUGAAAGGCCAAUCAAACCGGGAGAUAGCUGGUUCUCCCCGAAAGCUAUUUAGGUAGCGCCUCGUGAACUCAUCUUCGGGGGUAGAGCACUGUUUCGGCUAGGGGGCCAUCCCGGCUUACCAACCCGAUGCAAACUACGAAUACCGAAGAAUGUUAUCACGGGAGACACACGGCGGGUGCUAACGUCCGUCGUGAAGAGGGAAACAACCCAGACCGCCAGCUAAGGUCCCAAAGUCAUGGUUAAGUGGGAAACGAUGUGGGAAGGCACAGACAGCCAGGAUGUUGGCUUAGAAGCAGCCAUCAUUUAAAGAAAGCGUAAUAGCUCACUGGUCGAGUCGGCCUGCGCGGAAGAUGUAACGGGGCUAAACCAUGCACCGAAGCUGCGGCAGCGACGCUUAUGCGUUGUUGGGUAGGGGAGCGUUCUGUAAGCCGUUGAAGGUGGCCUGUGAGGGUUGCUGGAGGUAUCAGAAGUGCGAAUGCUGACAUAAGUAACGAUAAAGCGGGUGAAAAGCCCGCUCGCCGGAAGACCAAGGGUUCCUGUCCAACGUUAAUCGGGGCAGGGUGAGUCGACCCCUAAGGCGAGGCCGAAAGGCGUAGUCGAUGGGAAACAGGUUAAUAUUCCUGUACUUGGUGUUACUGCGAAGGGGGGACGGAGAAGGCUAUGUUAGCCGGGCGACGGUUGUCCCGGUUUAAGCAUGUAGGCGGAACGAUUAGGUAAAUCCGGUCGUUUAUUAACGCUGAGGUGUGAUGACGAGGCACUACGGUGCUGAAGUAACAAAUGCCCUGCUUCCAGGAAAAGCCUCUAAGCAUCAGGUAACAUCAAAUCGUACCCCAAACCGACACAGGUGGUCAGGUAGAGAAUACCAAGGCGCUUGAGAGAACUCGGGUGAAGGAACUAGGCAAAAUGGUGCCGUAACUUCGGGAGAAGGCACGCUGAUAUGUAGGUGAAGCCCCUGCGGGUGGAGCUGAAAUCAGUCGAAGAUACCAGCUGGCUGCAACUGUUUAUUAAAAACACAGCACUGUGCAAACACGAAAGUGGACGUAUACGGUGUGACGCCUGCCCGGUGCCGGAAGGUUAAUUGAUGGGGUUAGCGGUAACGCGAAGCUCUUGAUCGAAGCCCCGGUAAACGGCGGCCGUAACUAUAACGGUCCUAAGGUAGCGAAAUUCCUUGUCGGGUAAGUUCCGACCUGCACGAAUGGCGUAAUGAUGGCCAGGCUGUCUCCACCCGAGACUCAGUGAAAUUGAACUCGCUGUGAAGAUGCAGUGUACCCGCGGCAAGACGGAAAGACCCCGUGAACCUUUACUAUAGCUUGACACUGAACACUGGUCCUUGAUGUGUAGGAUAGGUGGGAGGCUUUGAAGUGUGGACGCCAGUCUGCAUGGAGCCGUCCUUGAAAUACCACCCUUUAAUGGCUGGUGUUCUAACGUAGACCCGUAAUCCGGGUUGCGGACAGUGUCUGGUGGGUAGUUUGACUGGGGCGGUCUCCUCCCAAAGAGUAACGGAGGAGCACGAAGGUUAGCUAAUCCUGGUCGGACAUCAGGAGGUUAGUGCAAUGGCAUAAGCUAGCUUGACUGCGAGAGUGACGGCUCGAGCAGGUGCGAAAGCAGGUCAUAGUGAUCCGGUGGUUCUGAAUGGAAGGGCCAUCGCUCAACGGAUAAAAGGUACUCCGGGGAUAACAGGCUGAUACCGCCCAAGAGUUCAUAUCGACGGCGGUGUUUGGCACCUCGAUGUCGGCUCAUCACAUCCUGGGGCUGAAGUAGGUCCCAAGGGUAUGGCUGUUCGCCAUUUAAAGUGGUACGCGAGCUGGGUUUAGAACGUCGUGAGACAGUUCGGUCCCUAUCUGCCGUGGGCGCUGGAGAAUUGAGGGGGGCUGCUCCUAGUACGAGAGGACCGGAGUGGACGCAUCACUGGUGUUCGGGUUGUCAUGCCAAUGGCACUGCCCGGUAGCUAAAUGCGGAAAAGAUAAGUGCUGAAAGCAUCUAAGCACGAAACUUGCCCCGAGAUGAGUUCUCCCUGAGACUUUAAGUCUCCUGAAGGAACGUUGAAGACGACGACGUUGAUAGGUCGGGUGUGUAAGCGCAGCGAUGCGUUGAGCUAACCGAUACUAAUGAACCGUGAGGCUUAACCUUACAACGCCGAAG